UACGUAGGGUGCAAGCGUUGUCCGGAAUUAUUGGGCGUAAAGAGCUCGUAGGCGGUUUGUCGCGUCUGCUGUGAAAACCCGAGGCUCAACCUCGGGCCUGCAGUGGGUACGGGCAGACUAGAGUGCGGUAGGGGAGAUUGGAAUUCCUGGUGUAGCGGUGGAAUGCGCAGAUAUCAGGAGGAACACCAAUGGCGAAGGCAGAUCUCUGGGCCGUAACUGACGCUGAGGAGCGAAAGCUAGGGGAGCAAACAGG
rnacentral:rRNA from 1 species